CGUGUAGGUGGAUAAUUAAGUCGUGUGUCUAAGUGCGGGGCUCAACCCCGUAUGGGCGCAGGAAACUGGAUAUCUUGAGUGCAGGAGAGGAAAGUGGAAUUCCCAGUGUAGCGGUGAAAUGCGUAGAUAUUGGGAGGAACACCAGUGGCGAAGGCGACUUUCUGGACUGUGUCUGACACUGAGGCGCGAAAGCUAGGGGAGCAACG
rnacentral:rRNA from 1 species